ACAGCCAUAUAGCUUUUAAAUGCUGGUUCCUGUACGAUCACUGAAGUUAAGCAAAGUUGAACCUGAUCAGUUCCUUGAUGAGUGGCCACUUGGGAAUACCAGGUGCUAUA